UCGGUUUACAGGCACGUCUAUGGCACUGGUCUGGAAUCUCAUGAUUGACUUUGACCUCCCCAGGUCCCACUGACCAUCCAUGGACACCUGGACAUUAGGUUCUUGAGGUGUGGUCAGUUUGGGGCUGGCUAGUUAGGGGUGAGAGAGAGCAGAGUUGACUCUUAUCCCCCAGGGGACUUGAGUACAAACUGGGACACUGGUGACACAUGUGGGACCAGAGGUACCGAGCUGGCCUGUGGGGUGAGUGACGCGGGUCCAGAGGGUCAUGGUCCAGUGGGCACCUGCUUCAGAGAUGGAUGUGGGGGUAGAUGGCAGGAUCUUGGGAGUCAGAAACAGGGUGGGGCCCUAAGGAGUUGGGGAGACCAAGGGCCCAUGGACUGGAGAGGCUCCUUUGGCCUGAGAAAGAAGGACCCCUCGAGAGAGGGAGGCUGUCCAGGGGUGAGGCCUGUCAAUCCAUGGAGGGAACUCAUUCUCCUGGAGGCCAUGGGGAACGAAGGAGAGGUGGCUCCAGGCCGUGAAGGUGGCCAUGUCCACACAAACCCACCAUGUAUGGGAGAGAGGGUCAAUCCUGGGCCUGCUGCCCAAGGCUCUGUUCUGAAAUGUCCUCUGGACCUUUUUAGGUGCUGGUGGAACUACCCCUCAAAAGCAAUCCAGACCCCAUUCCCUGGCUCCAUUCCCACAAGGCUGAAAGAAUUCUGCCAUCUUGCAGGUGCCUAAGAAGGGACCGGCUGGAGGAGUUUGGGGCUUAGCAAAAAGGCAAUGGUAGCAGACCCCAGAGAGAUUGAGACGCAUGCCCCAGACAGAACACAAAGGAGAGGAAAGUGUCCCCUGAGCUCACCCUAGACCAGAAGCAGAGAAAAAGGGGACUCACCGAGGACUGUCAGCGUGGUGCCCCCGCCGAACACAUAACACCGUGAUAGAACCCUGCACACAAACCCUCCUGAUAUGCCAGUCCCAGGCCCCCCUGCAGCUGCACAGAAGGCCCAGGGUCCAGCCCCCUCUUCUCAUGGGUGGGUGAGCCACAGGUGGGUCGCCUUCCACUGACCCAAGCAUCACUUCCCUGGGGGCUCAGGAGUUCAUCCACCCUGGUCAAGAGAGGUAUUGACAGGUCUGUGUGUGGAGUUGUCUUUCAGGUAAUCGCAUUUCUGAGGGACAGUUGGGUGGCCUGGAUCAGCUGGUGUCAGGAAUGCCCGGGAGGAGGAGGAGGAGGUGAGCAUCGGGUGACACCACUGACAUGGUGCAGCUGGGACCCCUCUGAG
rnacentral:lncRNA from 1 species